AGCGAACGCUGGCGGCAGGCCUAACACAUGCAAGUCGAACGAACUCUUCGGAGUUAGUGGCGGACGGGUGAGUAACACGUGGGAACGUGCCUUUUGGUUCGGAAUAACUCAGGGAAACUUGUGCUAAUACCGAAUGCGCCCUUCGGGGGAAAGAUUUAUCGCCAUUAGAGCGGCCCGCGUCUGAUUAGCUAGUUGGUGAGGUAACGGCUCACCAAGGCGACGAUCAGUAGCUGGUCUGAGAGGAUGACCAGCCACACUGGGACUGAGACACGGCCCAGACUCCUACGGGAGGCAGCAGUGGGGAAUAUUGCGCAAGGGGCGAGAGCCUGACGCAGCCAUGCCGCGUGAAUGAUGAAGGUCUGAGGAUUGUAAAAUUCUUUCACCAGGGACGAUAAGGACGGUACCCGGAGAAGAAGCCCCGGCUAACUUCGUG
rnacentral:rRNA from 1 species